AUCACAGAGAGUCACAAUGGUCAGAUUUUUCGUCUUAUUCAGUCUGAUGUUACUGUCCUUAACAGGUGACACCGAAGGGAAUGAUGUAACACAGGCUCCCAGAAUUAUCUGGAAGUCCCAGGGGGAAAAUGCUACAAUGAGCUGCAGUCACAACAAGGGCAGCCUAUACUCUCAGAUGUACUGGUACCGACAGCGCCCAGGGGAGAGCAUUGAGCUCGUCGUCUUCACAGCUGUUGGUUCUGAUCCUGAUUUUGGGACAUUCAAUAAAGAAAAAUUUGACGUUGUCAAAACAGUAGCUGAAAGUGGGUCUUUUACAAUGAAGGACUUGGAGCCAGGUGACAAUGGAGUGUAUUUCUGUGCCGUAAGUCAACACAGUGCCACAGGCUGA